rnacentral:rRNA from 1 species
AGGGUUUGAUCCUGGCUCAGAGUGAACGCUGGCGGCGUGGAUUAGGCAUGCAAGUCGAGCGAUCCUUUAGAUUGAAUUUAAUGAAUUCUGUGAUGUUCGCUUCGGUGAAUGGAUCAGUUGGAUUUUCUGGAUGUCUUGUGGAUAGCGGCAAAAGGGUUAGUAACACGUGGGUAACUUGCCCAGCAGUGAGGGAUAGCUACGGGAAACCGUAGGUAAUACCUCGUAUAAUGUUUUUACGGUAGUAUUAAUAUAAAAGAUGGGGAUCUUAGGACCUGUCGCUGUUGGAGAGGCCCGCGGGGUAUCAGCUAGUUGGUGUAGGUAAAGGCUCACCAAGGCAAUGACGCCUAGCAGGCAUUAGUGUGUGUUCUGCAACACCGGAACUGAGACACUGUCCGGACUCCUACGGGAGGCUGCAGUCGAGAAUAUUUCCCAAUGCGCGAAAGCGUGAGGAUGCGACGCCGCGUGAAGGAUGAAGGCUUUCGGGUCGUAAACUUCUUUUGUAUAGGAAGAAAGCUUGUUAGUUAAUAACUAUCAAGCCUGACGUUACUUUACGAAUAAGCAACGGCUAAAUACGUGCCAGCAGCCGCGGUAAUACGUAUGUUGCAAGCGUUACUCGGACUUACUGGGUGUAAAGGGUCCGCAGACGGUCAAGUAAGUGAGAGGUGAAAUCCUAUGGCUCAACCAUAGAACUGCCCCUCAUACUGCUAGACUAGAGGAUGUAAGAGGAAAGUGGAACUGCAUGUGUAAAGGUGAAAUUUGUGGAUAUAUGCAGGAACGCCAAUGGUGAAGACAACUUUCUGGUGCAUUUCUGACGUUCAGGGACGAAAGCGUGGGUAGCAAACAGGAUUAGAUACCCUGGUAGUCCACGCUGUAAACGAUGAUCACUGGCUGUCUCUGCCUUGUGCAGGAGUGGCGAAGCUAACGCGUUAAGUGAUCCACCUGGGGACUACGGUCGCAAGACUAAAACUCAAAGGAAUUGACGGGGGCCCGCACAAGCGGUGGAACAUGUGGUUUAAUUCGAUGCUACGCGAGGAACCUUACCAAGACUUGACAUGUAAGAAGUAGGAGCUUGAAAGAGCAACCACCGGUAUCCAAUCCGGAACUUAUACAGGUGCUGCAUGGUUGUCGUCAGCUCGUGCCGUGAGGUGUCGCCUUAAGUGGCUUAACGAGCGCAACCCUCGCUGUUAGUUGCUAAUCCACUAUUAGUGGAUGCACUCUAGCGGGACUGCCCGUGUUAAACGGGAGGAAGGUGAGGACGACGUCAAAUCAGCAUGGCCCUUAUGUCUUGGGCUACACACGUGUUACAAUGCAUGGUACAACGGGAGGCUAAGCCGCGAGGUGGAGCAAAUCCCUAAAAGCCAUGCCCAGUUCGGAUUGUAGGCUGCAACUCGCCUGCAUGAAGUUGGAAUCGCUAGUAAUGGCGCAUCAGCAACGGCGCCGUGAAUACGUUCCCGGGCCUUGUACACACCGCCCGUCAAGCGCCGAAAGUGAGGAGCGCCCGAAGACUUCUACUAACUAGGGGUUCACGGUGAAUUUCGUAAUUGGUGCUAAGUCGUAACAAGGUA